AGGGGGCUGACAGCAGGGAUCUUACAUGACAAAGGAGUCAGAUCCCAGGGAAAUGAGACCACACCUAGAUCAGCACCAGAACCAGACCCUGAAAGCCAGUCCAGGACAAGAAGAGCUGCUCUCCACCCAGCCCAGGGACACCUGCCCACGUUCCAAUGUCAGGACUUGUGGGUACCAAGCCUCUGCCCACUCUCUGAUAGGACGGUCCAUGCUCCCUCUCAGAUGAACUCCACUCAGAACAUGCAGCCUCUGAAGGGAAAAG